rnacentral:rRNA from 1 species
AUUGAACGCUGGCGGCAUGCCUUACACAUGCAAGUCGAACGGCAGCGCGGACUUCGGUCUGGCGGCGAGUGGCGAACGGGUGAGUAAUACAUCGGAACGUACCCUGUUGUGGGGGAUAACUAGUCGAAAGAUAAGCUAAUACCGCAUACGACCUGAGGGUGAAAGUGGGGGACCGCAAGGCCUCACGCAGCAGGAGCGGCCGAUGUCUGAUUAGCUAGUUGGUGGGGUAAAGGCCCACCAAGGCGACGAUCAGUAGCUAGUCUGAGAGGACGAUCAGCCACACUGGGACUGAGACACGGCCCAGACUCCUACGGGAGGCAGCAGUGGGGAAUUUUGGACAAUGGGGGCAACCCUGAUCCAGCAAUGCCGCGUGUGUGAAGAAGGCCUUCGGGUUGUAAAGCACUUUUGUCCGGAAAGAAAUCGCGCUGGUUAAUACCUGGCGUGGAUGACGGUACCGGAAGAAUAAGCACCGGCUAACUACGUG